CGAAACAACCGAGGCCUGGGCGCUAACCUCCGGGUCCGUGCCGUCUCCUUUCGGGGGGUCGCGGCGCGGGCGCGUUGGGAUCCCCCCUCGUAGUAGGUCAGCGCA
rnacentral:rRNA from 1 species